rnacentral:sRNA from 1 species
UGUUUGCACUUAGCGGGAAGGGUAAGAACCUUCGACUAAGGUUCGACUCGAGCGCCAGCGAGAGAACGUUGCCGCAGGCAGCGGCCCGAAGGGCGAGGAGCGAUAGCGACGAGUUAUCCUUCCCCCACCACCA